AUUGAACGCUGGCGGCAGGCCUAACACAUGCAAGUCGAGCGGAUGAAGGGAGCUUGCUCCUGGAUUCAGCGGCGGACGGGUGAGUAAUGCCUAGGAAUCUGCCUGGUAGUGGGGGAUAACGUCCGGAAACGGGCGCUAAUACCGCAUACGUCCUGAGGGAGAAAGUGGGGGAUCUUCGGACCUCACGCUAUCAGAUGAGCCUAGGUCGGAUUAGCUAGUUGGUGGGGUAAAGGCCUACCAAGGCGACGAUCCGUAACUGGACUGAGAGGAUGAUCAGUCACACCGGAACUGCGACGCGGUCCAGACUCCUACGGGGCGCAGCAGUGGGGAAUAUUCGCCUAGGGGCUAAAGCCUGAUCCAGCCAUGCCGCGUGUGUGAAGAAGGUUUACGGAUUGGAAAGCGCUUUAAGUUGGGAGGAAGGGCAGUAAGUUAAUACCUUGCUGUUUUGACGUUACCAACAGAAUAAGCACCGGCUAACUUCGUG
rnacentral:rRNA from 1 species